GGAGGGUUGGCCGAGCGGUUGAAGGCGGCAGUCUCGAAAACUGUUAUACCCACAACCUGGGUAUCGAGGGUUCGAAUCCCUCACCCUCCGCCA
rnacentral:tRNA from 1 species